rnacentral:rRNA from 1 species
CCUACGGGUGGCAGCAGUGAGGAAUAUUGGUCAAUGGACGCAAGUCUGAACCAGCCAAGCCGCGUGAAGGAAGACGGCCCUAUGAGUUGUAAACUGCUUUUGUCCGGGGGCAAAAGCCGCCACGCGUGUCUGUCCGAAAGUAUCGUACGAAAAAGCAUCGGCUAACUCCGUGCCAGCAGCCGCGGUAAUAGGGAGGAUUCGAGCGUUAUCCGGAUUUAUUGGGUUAAAAGGGUGCGCAGGCGGAAGAUAAAGUAAGCGGUAAAAUAGAGAGGCUCAACAUCUUCGUGCCGUUGAAACUGGUCUUCUUGAGUGAAGUAGCAGUAGGCGGAAUGUGUGGUGUAGCGGUGAAAUGCAUAGAUAUCACGCAGAACUCCGAUUGCGAAGGCAGCAUACCGGCGCUCAACUGACGCUCAUGCACGAAAGUGUGGGUAUCGAACAGGAUUAGAUACCCGUGUAGUC